rnacentral:rRNA from 1 species
UACGUAGGUGGCAAGCGUUAUCCGGAUUUACUGGGUGUAAAGGGCGUGUAGGCGGGGACGCAAGUCAGAUGUGAAAACCACGGGCUCAACCUGUGGCCUGCAUUUGAAACUGUGUUUCUUGAGUACUGGAGAGGCAGGCGGAAUUCCUAGUGUAGCGGUGAAAUGCGUAGAUAUUAGGAGGAACACCAGUGGCGAAGGCGGCUUACUGGACGGCAACUGACGCUGAGGCUCGAAAGCGUGGGGAGCAAACAGG